rnacentral:lncRNA from 1 species
AAAAGGGGAGAUCCAUCCACCAAUAAUUGGGGAAGCAGCAAAGUUAUUGAAUUGGUUGGUACACUGACUUAGACAUCAAGCGUGGCUUAGGUCACAUGGACUUCCACAAGAUACAUAUUAUCACAUGCCAAAGGGUCCCUCUUGGAGGUUUCCCUUCUGUGAGAGAUGCUUUUGACCCACACAACUCACAAGAACAAGGCAACAAAACACUACAUGACUACAGACACAAGAAACUCAUCACUCACUCCAUCACUUUGCUGCUUUGCAUAUAAAUGGAUAAGAACUCGAAACCCUAAUCGGCACGGAAGGACAUGGAACUACUGCUUCAAACAUUCAAACUUACUGCAUCUCUCAUGCAUCCUGAUCAUCCCACCCUUCUGUCCUUCCCAGUUUAUGAUUGUGUUCAUGAAAUCACAGCUGAUAAUUCACUAAGCAUGCGAUGAAGAAUUAGAUACUUUGUCUAAGGUGUGUAGGUUGGGCUUAACAAAAGUGAUGCACACUUACCAUAAGAAUAUGUAAAACAUGGACUUCGCAUAAUGAAUUUGACUGAUUAUGAAAAUCUUGCUAAUAUUAUACAACACUAGAAUUAAGGUAAAUGGGAAAGAUAGAGAAGUGUUGCUCACUAAGCAAAGAUAGAUUUGAGCUCUAAAAUAAUUUUGCAUCUCAAGACUACUUCCAAUAAAUUUGAGCAUG